rnacentral:rRNA from 1 species
CCUACGGGCGGCAGCAGUGAGGAAUAUUGGACAAUGGGCGCGAGCCUGAACCAGCCAAGUAGCGUGAAGGAUGACUGCCCUACGGGUUGUAAACUUCUUUUAUAAAGGAAUAAAGUGUGGCACGUGUGCCUUUUUGUAUGUACUUUAUGUAUAAGGAUCGGAUAACUCCGUGCCCGCAGCCGCGGUACUACGGAGGAUCCGAGCGUUAUCCGGAUGUAUUGGGUUUAAAGUGAGCGUAGAUGGGUUGUUAAGUCAGUUGUGAAAGUUUGCGGCUCAACCGUGAAAUUGCAAUUGAUACUGGCAGUCUUGAGUACAGUUGAGGUAGGCGGAAUUCGUGGUGUAGCGGUGAAAUGCUUAGAUAUCACGAAGAACACCGAUUGCGAAGGCAGCUUACUAAACUGCAACUGACAUUGAUGCUCGAAAGUGUGGGUAUCAAACAGGAUUAGAUACCCUAGUAGUC